rnacentral:lncRNA from 1 species
UUUUCUGUUCUUACAGCUUACAUAGCAUUUUGACGUCCAUCCUUCGUUUGGUCUUCUCAGCCCUGAGAGGGAGGUGGCACACUUUAUACCCCUCCUGUGCAAGUAUUUAAAUCUAGCUGUGUUAAUCCUACUUCCUGUUUCAGAUUAUGAAUUAUUUCAAGGCAAAUGCCUUCCCUAUGUUUGUUUCUAUCAGAUAGCUCAACGUGUCAGAGUUCAAUAAAUAAUACAUAGCAACAGUGAGAUUUUUUUUCUUAUUGAAAUACAUCUUACAUGGGGGUUGUUGGUGGUAUUUGCCUCCAGAAGUUUUGCUGCUGAUAGAAAAAGACAAAGUACCCUUUCUAAUGUGAAUUUAUGGAAUGAUUGUCUGCCCAUAAAAAAUUAUUCUCCAGCUUGGAGCAAUUAAAGUGGUCUCUCUCCUCUCCAAAUUAAUGUAAUUAAUACUAUAGUCUUGGUUGUUUAUCAUGUCUUGAUAAUAUCACAAGGGAAUGAAAAUAUUGGCUCUUUUAUCCCUUUAAAUAGCUGAGAUGGAACUGUUCAAGCUCUAAUGUUACAACAGCUGUUUCUCAUGUCCCAGAAUAUAAUUGGUUGGUACUGAGGUUACUAAAUUGUAAGAAAUUGACUUUGGUUUUAUAUGCGUGCCUACUUUUGGUAGAAGGAAAGAUGGGAAAUGUUAGCUUUCUCUUGUAAUGAAAAGGCAAAACCUUCCCCAGUGAAAUGACAGCUUCCGGGUCGCAUCUGUGUAAUUUUCUUUACCAACCUACUGUCUCUGGGUUUGCUGGAUAACACGGCUGGGAAAGCAGGACCAUUCUAGCUAGCUUCCCUCCUAAUUAGCUCUCAACCCAACACAGCUGGUCGAAAUGCAUCAGGGCUUUCCCACGAGGGCCUCUUUCUGGAAGUCAUUGUAAAGUGGUCUGGUCUCCAAUGGCAAAUUCAAUAGGGGAUUUGAGACCAUAAUUAUCCCGAAUAAUUUGUAGAAGGGAGAUUCUUUUAUCUGAAUAUCUUUAUGGCUUGGAUCAGUUGUUCUCAAAGUGUUGUCCUUGGAUCAGCACCAUCAGCGUCACCUAGGAACUGGCUAAACAUUUAGAUUCUCAGGUCCACCCUAGAACUAUUAAAUCAGAAGUUCUGGAAGAUGGAGGGAGGAACUAGCAAUCUAUGUUUAACAAGCUUUCGCGUGAUUCUGAUGUGCACUGGACUUUCAGACUCACUCACUUAGGGUCUUACCAGGUUUCCCUAGUUUGUGAUAGCUCACUACCAGCCUCUCUGCUGCCUGGCUUCCAUUAGGCUCCCAAAGAGUAGAGCCUAUGGCAGGUGCAUACUCCUUUAUAUCAGCCUCCUCAUCACAAACACAUUCACUGUCACUCUUUUCCUCAUUCGUUUCUGGAGUUGUGGGGCACCACCUCAAUCUUUAAAGCACCCAAGAAUCAUACAGCAAUCUUGUUAAAAUACAGGUUCUGAUGUAGCAUGGCCAGAGUGGGGCCUGAGAGUCCACCUUUCUGCCAAGCUCCUUGGGGCUGUUGCUGGUCCAGAGACCACACAGAGACUAGAGGAGCUGGCAUCUAAUUGUGAAGCCAAGUAGGCACAGGAAAAAUUACAAACAAUUCUAAAGAACUUGCCAGUUGGUCAGUGCAAAAUGAGAGCGAUUUAAGUAAUAAAUAGGGUAAGCGUUUAUCAGGUCAGGACUUGAAGGGACUUGGACAGGAUAUUUCCAUUGCAGAAAUGUUCUUAAUGUCUGCUUUCUUCCUCCCUGUGUUUCCUGGGACCCUCACUCUUCCUUCUCUUUCUCUUCCCAUACCACACCCUCUACCUCCCUUUCCUUCCACUUCCCCACUCACAUUUUGUUCAAUUGCCUGGUUCUCUCAUUCUGAAGCUUGCUUCUCUGUUGAUCUUCACACAAGUCAUCACGAACUGAAAAGCUGGAGCCAGUGCCAACACUUGCAAACGGAUCUGGUGGGAAAACCAUGGGGGAGAAAUUUAGGGAGAAGACCUAACUUUGUCACCUAGAGAGGCUUUUCCAGUUGUAAAGCCAAUUGCUCACUCCUGAGUUCUGAUUUCCCUGGUGAAUUCCAUCCAGUGAACUACAGCUUCUCUGUCCUUUAAGUGUCUCCCCUUAGACUGGGAAGGAAUUAAGUGUAAUGUUGGACUUUUCCAGCAGCUUCCAGAUUGGCAAUUUCCUUUAAACUUUGAAAAUUACUUCGAAGUUUCCCUUUGAGGAAAGCUGGUGGUAUGCACAGCUGACAUCUUUGCUCCUGGAUUUGGCUCCCCUAGCCUAGGUGCAGGUGUGUAAAUUGUGGGGGGAUGGGAUUCACUUUGAUGUCUGCUGUGGAACAAUGGCAGGAGACUUUAGAGACAUGAAAAAUAAAGCAAAAGGGUGGCGUGCCUGGGUGGUGCAGUCAAUUGAAUGUCUGACUCUUGGUUUCCACUUAGGAUCUCGGGAUCUCAGGAUCAUGGAAUCAAUCAAGCCCUUGAGAUUCUCUCUCCCUCAAAAAAAAAAAAAAAAA